CUAGAAUAUCUAUGGAGAUUAGUUCUGUAUUCUAGUAUUUAUGCCUCUUACUAAAGAUGAAGUCUUGCUCUGUUGCCCAGGCAGGCAUGAAGUGACACAAUCUUGGCUCACUGCAACCUCCACCACCCCAGGUUCAAGGAAUUCUCCUGCCUCAGCCUCCAAAUUUGAAUGGCGAAUAUGUCCAAGUCCAUGCUAACAGAAAGGAGCAGAUCUCAGGAACCUGAAGAAACCGGCACACAAUAGAAUCUAUAAAAGGUCAGAAAUGGAGGUCAUAUAUGUCUCUUUCAAGGGAUUGCAUGAGACUUACCAAAUCAACUGGACACCAAAGUUUGGCCAAGAUAACACAUAAAAUUAGCCAUCACAAAGACUAAAUGAAGAUGGCAUCUACUGGUGAUAUUUAAAAUUACUACCAAAGUAAAUGAAAUUCAAAGAAGUUUCUAUUUUAUGACAACUGAAAGUAAGUGUGGAAACAAGAAGUCCUCCAAAAAAAUCAGAGAUAAUUAUGACAUAAGGAGACUUUGGUCAGAAUGAAAGAGAUUGGAUGCUGCCUACCCACAUUGAAGAUGGACCUUUCCCAAUUAAUCCAUCAGACUGGGAAAUACAGAAAGGAGAAUAAAAAGA